CGCUAGCGGCAGGCGUUAACACAUGCAAGUCGAACGAAGUUCUUCGGAACUUAGUGGCGAACGGGUGAGUAACACGUAGGUAAUGUACCCUUUGGUGGAGGAUAACUCAGGGAAACCUGAGCUAAUACUGCAUAUGUCCUUCGGGAUAAAAGUCUUCGGACGCCUUAGGAGCAGCCUGCGGCCCAUUAUCUAAUCCUAGUUGGUAGGGUAACGGCCUACCAAGGGUACGAUGGGUAGCUGGUCUGAGAGGAUGAUCAGCCACACUGGGACUGAGACACGGCCCAGACUCCUACGGGAGGCAGCAGUGGGGAAUAUUGCGCAAUGGGGGAAACCCUGACGCAGCCAUGCCGCGUGUGUGAUGAAGGCCCUCGGGUCGUAAAGCACUGUCGGGAGGGACGAAGAUCUGACGGUACCUCGCAAGAAAGCACCGGCUAACUCCGUG
rnacentral:rRNA from 1 species